rnacentral:rRNA from 1 species
UAGUCCACGCCGUAAACGAUGAAUACUAGGUGUAGGGGGUAUCGACUCCCUCUGUGCCGCAGUUAACACAAUAAGUAUUCCGCCUGGGGAGUACGGCCGCAAGGUUGAAACUCAAAGGAAUUGACGGGGGCCCGCACAAGCAGUGGAUUAUGUGGUUUAGUUCGAAGCAACGCGAAGAACCUUACCAGGGCUUGACAUCCUCUGACCGCUCUAGAGAUAGAGUUUCCCUUCGGGGCAGAGAGAC